UACGAAGGGUGCUAGCGUUGCUCGGAAUCACUGGGCUUAAAGCGCACGUAGGCGGCUUUCUAAGUCAGGGGUGAAAUCCUGGAGCUCAACUCCAGAACUGCCUUUGAUACUGGAAAGCUUGAGUUCGGGAGAGGUGAGUGGAACUGCGAGUGUAGAGGUGAAAUUCGUAGAUAUUCGCAAGAACACCAGUGGCGAAGGCGGCUCACUGGCCCGAUACUGACGCUGAGGUGCGAAAGCGUGGGGAGCAAACAGG
rnacentral:rRNA from 1 species